CCUACGGGAGGCAGCAGUGGGGAAUAUUGCACAAUGGGGGAAACCCUGAUGCAGCGACGCCGCGUGAGUGAAGAAGUAUCUCGGUAUUUAAAGCUCUAUCAGCAGGGAAGAAAAUGACGGUACCUGAUUAAGAAUCCCCGUCUAACUACGUGCCAGCAGCCGCGGUAAUACGUAGGCGGCCAGCGUUAUCCGGAUUUUCUGGGUGUUAAGGGGGCGUAGACGGCAGCACAAGUCUGUAGUGAAAUGGCUGGGCUUAACCCCGGAACUGCUUUGGAAACUGUGCAGAUCGAUUGCAGGGGGGGUAAGGGGAAUUGCUAGGGUAGCGGUGAAAUGCGAAGAUAUUAGGGGGAAAACCAGUGGCGAAGGCGGCUUACUGGACUGUAAAUGAAGUCGAGGGUCGAAAGCGUGGGGAGCAGACAGGAUUUAGAUACCCUGGUAGUC
rnacentral:rRNA from 1 species